rnacentral:misc_RNA from 1 species
UUUUGGGAUAAAGGUUUAGUUUAGUUGAGUUGAGUAGAAUGAUUGCUAAAGUGAAUUUUAGCAUCCCAAGCAGCUAUAUGUCAAGUACGGUGGGGAUGUGCUGACAUUCAUUUGUUAAAAGUUCUGUGUGUUAGUUCUGUUCACAUAUAAAUCAGGGGGUGCUUUAAUAUUGGAGAAUGAGUACAGUAUAGUUGAUUUAUUAAAUAAGGGAGUUUGUAUUGUCUUUCAGAAGAAUUUUCAUGGUUAAACAACUAUGUGGAGAAUGAAUUGGUUUGGUACUUGCAGUCUAUUUGGGAUUUUCUGUUGAUUAAUAUUGCAGAAUCAUGUGUGACACUAACUGAUUGAGCUUCUGAGCAGUGCCUCGGAACUUCAGAUUGCUG